UUUAAUGGCCGCGGUAUUUUGACCGUGCAAAGGUAGCAUAAUAAUUAGUCUAUUAAUUGUGGACUGGUAUGAAUGGUUGGACGAAAUAUUUACUGUCUCUUUAGAAUUAUUUUAUAAAUUAAAUUUUUAGUUAAAAUGCUUAGAUGUAUUUAUUAGACGAUAAGACCCUAUAGAUCUUUAUACAUAUAUUUAUUAUUAUUUUUAGUUUAUUUAUUUUUAAUUUUUUAUUGUGUUUUGUUGGGGUGAUAAUGAGAUAUAUGUAACUCUUAUUUUUUUUCACAUUGAUUUUUGGUUAAUUGACCUUUUAUUAUUGUUACAAGAUAUAGAUACCUUAGGGAUAACAGCGUAAUUUAUCUUGAGAGUUCAUAUUGACAGAUAAGAUUGCGACCUCGAUGUUGGAUUAAGAUUAUAUUUAGGUGUAGAUGCUUAAUUGUUAGGUCUGUUCGACCUUUAAAUUCUUACAUGAUCUGAGUUCAAACCGGAGAAA
rnacentral:rRNA from 1 species